rnacentral:rRNA from 1 species
GAUGAACGCUGGCGGCGUGCCUAAUACAUGCAAGUCGAGCGAACAGAUGAGGAGCUUGCUCCUCGGACGGUAGGGGCGGACGGGUGAGUAACACGUGGAUAACCUACUUAUAAGACUGGGAUAACUACGGGAAGCCGGAGUUAAUACCGGAGGAUAUAUUGAACCGCAUGGUUGAAUGGUGAGAGACGGUUUUGGUGUCGCUGAGGGAUGGAUCCGCGCCGUAUUAGCUAGUUGGUAAGGUGAUGGCUUACCAAGGCAACGAUGCGUAGCCGACCUGAGAGGGUGAUCGGCCACCCUGGAGCUGCGACACGGUCCAGACUCCUACGGCAGGCAGCAGUAGGGAAUCUUCCGCAAUGGGCGGAAGCUUGACGGAGCAACGCCGCGUGAGUGAUGAAGGUCUUCGGAUCGUAAAACUCUGUUAUUAGGGAAGAACAAAUGUGUACGUAACUAUGCACGUCUUGACGGUACCUAAUCAGAAAGCCCCGGCUAACUACGUG